rnacentral:piRNA from 1 species
UAGACAGAGUCAAUCUAGCCUAGGUGGG